rnacentral:lncRNA from 1 species
GACGGGGACAAGCCAUUCCUCUCAGGCAGCCCUUGUCCCCUCCUGGCUCCAGAAGGGCAGAAUAGGCCCAGAAGCUGCAGGCAUGGACAGAAACGAGGUCUCCCGGGCUCCGGGUGCAGAAGGCUCAGUGGAAACUUUCUGAGUGGUUGUCUUCAAAAGGCCCACCUAGCACAGGACUCCAGCAAAUGCUUCGUUGAGCCCGGAGCAGCUGUCCAGACCUGGUGUCCAGAGUGAUCCAGCAGCUCCACCCAGCAAGCUCCAGAGAUCAGCCACAGAUUGGUGCCCCCCACCCCCACCCCAGGCAGCAAGUGGCUGCAUCAUGGCCUCACUAGGGCACAGGGACAGUGCAGAGACCUUGAACAAACAUCCUGUCGUACAUGACCACCAUCCCAGUGUGCAUACAGAAAGAGGCCACCCUGGCCAUUAAGGGAUCAAGGUGAAGCAGGACAAGGAAGAGAUCUUCCCCAGUGGAAGAGGAUGGAGAAGAUCCUCACGGUGUAGCGGCUUCCCCAGAGGUUAGAGGACACCGCCUUAUGCCCCAGUGGGCUUUGAAGCCACAAGUGUCCUCUUUGCUAAGGUAUUGUGGGCUGCAGUGACCCUGAGCGCCCACUAGAGGUCAUACCACAACCUCUUUAAAAGGAAUGUUCAGAUUGACAGAUGGUGCCUGUAGAUGGGAGAGCUAACUAGACACCCGACGUAGGAGGUAGACUGCAUCGGUGCCAGAUGACAGAUCAUGACCCCUCCAUGAGGCCCCAUGUGUAAUCUCAGCUCCUCCAUGUGUAGCUCCAGAAAGCAUCUACCCCUGCCCUCACAGCUGGCCGGCUGCUGUUUCCCACAGGAUGAGAAAGAGCUGGAAAGGGAAAGUCUGGCGAAACCACCUGAUACUUGCUUUAAAGUAUAUCGGGUCUGGAGCUGGACCUCAGAGGUAGGCACCUGCCUGCUGUCACUCCCCCCCCCCCCUGUGAAAAUGAAACUGUCUCAG